rnacentral:rRNA from 1 species
AAAUUCCUUGUCGGGUAAGUUCCGACCCGCACGAAAGGCGUAACGAUUUGGGACGCUGUCUCAACAACAGACUCGGUGAAAUUGUAAUUCCGGUGAAGAUGCCGGAUACCUGCGACAGGACGGAAAGACCCCCAUGGAGCUUUACUGUAGCUUAGCAUUGGAUUUAGGUAGUAUAUGUACAGGAUAGGUGGGAGGCUUUGAAAGUAGGACGCCAGUUUUGCUGGAGCCCAUCCUUGGGGAUACCACCCUUGUACUAUCUGGAUUCUAACCACGAUGAGUGAAUCCUCAUCUGGGGACACUGCUUGGCGGGCAGUUUGACUGGGGCGGUCGCCUCCCAAAAUGUAACGGAGGCGCUCAAAGGUUCCCUCAGCACGGUCGGAAAUCGUGCGUAGAGUGUAAAGG